GGAGGGGUCGCCUAGUGGUUUAUGGCAAUAGUUUACUAAACUAUCAGCGCAAGCUACCGUGGGUUCGAAUCCCACCCCCUCCG
rfam:Microgenomates bacterium GW2011_GWB1_45_17 TX00_C0007, whole genome shotgun sequence.